GAUGGCCGCCGCGGCGCUGAAGGCCCUCACCGCUCCCCCGCGGAGCCGCCCGGCCGCUGCGGGCCGGAGCCGCCCCCAUCGGUCCCCACGGCUACCGCAGCGGCCCCACGCCCUGCCCUGCCCUACCCGCGCUAAGUACCGAGCGCCGCCUGACGCCGCCGAGCCGUGAGUGCCAGCCUCCGGCGGGCCUGCGCGCCCGGCCCCGCCGCUGCCCGCCAGGGCCAACCCCCUGCGGCGGUCCUCGCUGCCCUGCCUGGGCGAGGGGAGGCCCCGCCGCCCCGCCGGCAGGUGGGACGCGCCGCCGGACCUCGGCGUUACUUGGGGUGCAGUUGGCGGGCCCUGGCCUCUCGGAGCUGGGAGCCGGGCUGCGGGCUGCUGCUCCGUCGCCACAGCUACGGGUGCUUGGCGUUGUGGGGAGGAGGAACGUGCUCGUUACGCCGACCUGGCGUGUGACGGGAGAGUGGUGCAGGGCGAUGCUCUCACCCUUCGAGUCAUACCUGUGAUUUCCUAAGGUUCCGGGAAAGCUUUGCUUUUGGCCAAGGCAACAGACAUGGACUGAAUAUGAGGAAGUCCUGCUGGCAGCUCCAUUGGCACAAGGGCUGAAAUACCAGCACUGCAAGGAGUGGCAACAGUUACUGACAGCUGCUCAGGGACCUGAGCUGAGGUCUGCAUCUUGGUACAUGUGAUCUGUUCAAAAGCAUGGAUGCAUGGACAGCAUGGCAGCAAGGCUGUACUGCAGAGGAAGUGUGCUUCAUGAUUUUGGCUAAAUUUCAUUACAAUAUGUCCUUUUUAAUGGCAGGCUUGAUAGAAGCCCAUACUUAAGGACAGUCAGUUUCUCUUACUUGUAGAGAUGAUCAUGGAUCAUUUGGCAAAUAUACAUUAACGAAGCGUGCUGCAAAAGACUUCUUGCUUCUUUCUGCAUUUUGUUCUGGUUUUGGUAGGAGUGGGAUUUCAUUGUCCAGUGACAACAACAGGCAUUUUUACAAACAAAACCAAAUGAACAAAACAAGAGCUGUAGAAAUGGAAACAUACUGGAUCAGGUAGGACGAACAGCCAGCCUUUAUCACCACUGGUAGUACAUCUUGAUUUCAUUACGAAGGUACGCUGCUGUAACUAACAGCAUAAUACUUACAGUGUUGAAGUAGGAAUGUUAAGUGGAAUUUGUUUUCUUUAAGUAGCCUAGCUACUCCUGAUCGUUCAUAGCUAUGAAGUAUCUUGCCACAUUAAAACAUUUGUUGACUUUUAGGAAGCAAUAAAUAACGGAGUCAAUGACAGAACUCCAAAAUGAACUCUCCCUUAGUUGUGUUUACUUUUUAAGAUUAAAAGGUGUGGAAAUUCAAUCAAGGAAAAGUACUUUAACCUGGUUAAGAAUGAAUCAUUUUGGUCUUCAGUUGCUUGGGCUGAAGAUAACUAAAGAACUAUAUUACUUGCCAAAAAGGCAAAAUACCUAAAAAAGGUAAUUCUGCUCUUAAGCAGAUUGGGAAGAACUAUUGCAAGGGAUUGUGAUGCUACUGGCCACCAUAGAACUUGCUCUUGUCUAACCAGGUUUCCUUUAACUAAUGUAAAAGAUUUUGCAAUGUUGAAGAAGUUAUUUAAAGCAAACAGGAAGAAAUCUACCUUUUUUUUCUUUUUUUCUUGUGACUGACUACCGCUUGUGACUGGAGCUAUUAUUUUAUGGGAUUUGGGGCUGAACAGCCAGAAAGCAGAUUUUUUAAACAUCAAGAUAGCAACUUAAGGCCCUGCAGUGUAAACAGGAGCACAGUUUAAACUAUUCAAUGUUUGUAACACUAGUAUCUUCUAAUAAAUUCUCCCCCUGCAGAAGCAGAAUGAUUAUCAGACCAGUGACCAAGAAGAUACUUGAUACAAAGCUGACAA